AUACGGAGGAUCCGAGCGUUAUCCGGAUUUAUUGGGUUUAAAGGGUGCGCAGGCGGCCAUUUAAGUCAGCGGUUAAAUCGUGGGGCUCAACCCCAUUCUGCCGUUGAUACUGGGUGGCUUGAUUGCGGUCGAGGUUGGCGGAAUUCGUUGUGUAGCGGGGAAAUGCAUAGAUAUGACGAAGAACACCGAUUGCGAAGGCAUCUCACGAAUCCGAGACUGACGCUGAGGCACGAAAGCGUGGGGAUCAAACAGGAUUAGAUACCCUGGUAGUCCACGCAGUAAACGAUGAUAACUAACCGUCGGCGAUAGAAUGUCGGUGGCCAAGCGAAAGCGAUAAGUUAUCCACCUGGGGAGUACGUUCGCAAGAAUGAAACUCAAAUGAAUUGACGGGG
rnacentral:rRNA from 1 species